rnacentral:rRNA from 1 species
AGUGGGGAAUAUUGGACAAUGGGCGCAAGCCUGAUCCAGCCAUGCCGCGUGGAUGAUGAAGGCCUUAGGGUUGUAAAGUCCUUUUAACGGGGAAGAUAAUGACGGUACCCGUAGAAUAAGCCCCGGCUAACUUCGUGCCAGCAGCCGCGGUAAUACGAAGGGGGCUAGCGUUGCUCGGAAUCACUGGGCGUAAAGCGCACGUAGGCGGACUCUUAAGUCGGGGGUGAAAUCCUGGAGCUCAACUCCAGAACUGCCUUCGAUACUGAGAGUCUUGAGUCCGGGAGAGGUGAGUGGAACUGCGAGUGUAGAGGUGAAAUUCGUAGAUAUUCGCAAGAACACCAGUGGCGAAGGCGGCUCACUGGCCCGGUACUGACGCUGAGGUGCGAAAGCGUGGGGAGCAAA